UGUUUAGCAGGCUUGUUGAAAACUAAUUAAGGAUAUAUGUAUCCAUUUGUAAAUUGUAUAUGAGCUGUUUGCUAUGAAACACAAAUAGCUUUUUCCCAUGAAUGAAUAUUUAAUUGAGGUCCAGACUCAUCCCCACAGUAGGAGCAACUUAAGGCCAGCAGUAUAUACAAUUAUAAAACAAUUUGGAGUAAAAAAAAAAAAAAAAAAAAUCCUCUGAGACACCUUGGUACCCUGCCAAACUGAGAUUUAGUAAGUCACUGGUGCUCUGUAGCCAAGGUGGUUUGAAAAUGUACUUCACACAAGGCAAAAGCCCAAGAAGGAAGCUAAGGGUCUGUAACAUCUGCUUCAACCUGUCAGUUGUUUCUCGCUCCUUCCACAGAAGACAAUUCUGCCUUUGCUGCCUGGAGCAGUUUGUGAGGGAGGACACCGUGAGGACACCGUUUGGAUCUUUUCUGAUGCAGGACCUGAAAACACAGGGGUGUCUUUUUUUCUUACCAGCCCUUGAUAUCUUUCAGGGUCUCCCCUGGCUUGUAUCAUUUCCAUUUGCUGGCUGUUACUCACU